rnacentral:rRNA from 1 species
AUACGUAGGGAGCGAGCGUUGUCCGGAAUUACUGGGUGUAAAGGGAGCGUAGGCGGGAGUGCAAGUCAGAUGUGAAAUACAUGGGCUCAACCCAUGGGCUGCAUUUGAAACUGCAUUUCUUGAGUGAAGUAGAGGUAAGCGGAAUUCCUGGUGUAGCGGUGAAAUGCGUAGAUAUCAGGAGGAACACCGGUGGCGAAGGCGGCUUACUGGGCUUUUACUGACGCUGAGGCUCGAAAGCGUGGGGAGCAAACAGGAUUAGAUACCCUGGUAGUCCACGCUGUAAACGAUGAUUACUAGGUGUGGGGGGACUGACCCCUUCCGUGCCGCAGUUAACACAAUAAGUAAUCCACCUGGGGAGUACGGCCGCAAGGUUGAAACUCAAAUGAAUUGACAGGG